rfam:Gossypium arboreum cultivar AKA8401 contig_65368_3, whole genome shotgun sequence.
GGGUGAGAUCAUAUGAGCACUAACGCGUUGAAUUUCAUCAGAACCUCAUAGUUAAGCACGCUUGGGCGAAAGUAGGACUAGGAUGGGUGACCUCCUAUGAUGUCCUCGUAUUGCACCCC